rnacentral:rRNA from 1 species
CCUACGGGUGGCAGUAGUGAGGAAUAUUGGUCAAUGUGCGUAAGCCUGAACCAGCCAAGUCGCGUGAGGGAUGAAGGUUCUAUGGAUCGUAAACCUCUUUUAUAAGGGAAUAAAGUGCGGGACGUGUCCCGUUUUGUAUGUACCUUAUGAAUAAGGAUCGGCUAACUCCGUGCCAGCAGCCGCGGUAAUACGGAGGGUGCGAGCGUUAAUCGGAAUUACUGGGCGUAAAGCGCUCGUAGGCGGUAUGUCAAGUCAAGGGUGAAAUCCCCGCGCUCAACGUGGGAACUGCCUUUGAAACUGGCAAACUGGAGUGUGUGAGAGGAUAGUGGAAUUCCAGGUGUAGGAGUGAAAUCCGUAGAUAUCUGGAGGAACAUCAGUGGCGAAGGCGACUAUCUGGCACAUAACUGACGCUGAGGAGCGAAAGCGUGGGUAGCAAACAGGAUUAGAUACCCGGGUAGUC